UGGGGAAUAUUGGACAAUGGGGGGAACCCUGAUCCAGCCAUGCCGCGUGUGUGAAGAAGGCCUUAUGGUUGUAAAGCACUUUAAGCGAGGAGGAGGGUACUGGUGUUAAUACUACCAGGUACUGGACGUUACUCGCAGAAUAAGCACCGGCUAACUCUGUGCCAGCAGCCGCGGUAAUACAGAGGGUGCGAGCGUUAAUCGGAUUUACUGGGCGUAAAGCGUGCGUAGGCGGCUAAUUGAGUCGGAUGUGAAAUCCCCGAGCUUAACUUGGGAAUUGCAUUCGAUACUGGUUAGCUAGAGUGUGGGAGAGGAUGGUAGAAUUCCAGGUGUAGCGGUGAAAUGCGUAGAGAUCUGGAGGAAUACCGAUGGCGAAGGCAGCCAUCUGGCCUAACACUGACGCUGAGGUACGAAAGCAUGGGGAGCAAACAGG
rnacentral:rRNA from 1 species